AUGGAGUUUGUGCUGAGCUGGGUUUUCCUUGUUGCUCUUUUGAAAGGUGUCCAGUGUGAGGUGCAGCUGGUGGAGUCUGGGGGAGGCUUGGCAAAGCCUGGGGGGUCCCUGAGACUCUCCUGCGCAGCCUCCGGAUUCACCUUCAGUGACUACUACAUGGACUGGGUCCGCCAGGCUCCAGGGAAGGGGCUGGAGUGGGUCUCACGUAUUAAAUGGUGGGGUAGCACAUACUAUGCAGACUCCGUGAAGGGCAGAUUCACCAUCUCCAGAGAGAACGCCAAGAACACACUGUAUCUUCAAAUGGACAGCCUGAGAGCUGAGGACACGGCUGUCUAUUACUGUGCGAGAGACACAGUGAGGGGAAGUCAGUGUGAGCCCAGACACAAACCUCCCUGCAGGAACGCCGGGGAAAUCAGCGGCAGGGGGCGCUCGGGACCCACUGA